rnacentral:rRNA from 1 species
UAACCUGCCCAAGAGAUCGGGAUAACACCUGAAACAGAUGCUAAUACCGGAUAACAACAGAUGAUGCCUAUCAACUGUUUAAAAGAUGGUUCUGCUAUCACUCUUGGAUGGACCUGCGGUGCAUUAGCUAGUUGGUAGGGUAACGGCCUACCAAGGCGAUGAUGCAUAGCCGAGUUGAGAGACUGAUCGGCCACAUUGGGACUGAGACACGGCCCAAACUCCUACGGGAGGCAGCAGAC